UACGUAGGGGGCAAGCGUUGUCCGGAUUUAUUGGGCGUAAAGAGCGUGUAGGCGGCCUGGCAGGUCAGCUGUGAAAACUCGAGGCUCAACCUCGAGACGUCGGUUGAAACCACCUGGCUAGAGUCCGGAAGAGGAGAGUGGAAUUCCUGGUGUAGCGGUGAAAUGCGCAGAUAUCAGGAGGAACACCGGUGGCGAAGGCGGGUCUCUGGGCCGAUACUGACGCUGAGGAGCGAAAGCGUGGGGAGCGAACAGG
rnacentral:rRNA from 1 species